rnacentral:rRNA from 1 species
UCUACGGCAUACCACCCUGAACGCGCCCGAUCUCGUCUGAUCUCGGAAGCUAAGCAGGGUCGGGCCUGGAGAGUACUUGGUGGGAGACCGCCUGGGAAUACCGGGUCUGUAGUUU